rnacentral:rRNA from 1 species
GCAGCUGAUCAGCAUUCCGCGUGCAGGACGAAGGCCUUCGGGUUGUAAACUGCUUUUGUACAGAACGAAAAGCCUUGAGUUAAUACCUCGAGGUCAUGACGGUACUGUAAGAAUAAGCACCGGCUAACUACGUGCCAGCAGCCGCGGUAAUACGUAGGGUGCGAGCGUUAAUCGGAAUUACUGGGCGUAAAGCGUGCGCAGGCGGUUUUGUAAGACAGAGGUGAAAUCCCCGGGCUCAACCUGGGAACUGCCUUUGUGACUGCAAGGCUAGAGUGCGGCAGAGGGGGAUGGAAUUCCGCGUGUAGCAGUGAAAUGCGUAGAUAUGCGGAGGAACACCGAUGGCGAAGGCAAUCCCCUGGGCCUGCACUGACGCUCAUGCACGAAAGCGUGGGGAGCAAACAGGAUUAGAUACCCUGGUAGUCCACGCCCUAAACGAUGUCAACUGGUUGUUGGGUCUUCACUGACUCAGUAACGAAGCUAACGCGUGAAGUUGACCGCCUGGGGAGUACGGNCGCAAGGUUGAAACUCAAAGGAAUUGACGGGGAACCGGACAAGCGGUGGAUGAUGUGGUUUAAUUCG